rnacentral:rRNA from 1 species
AUUGAACGCUGGCGGCAUGCUUUACACAUGCAAGUCGAACGGUAACAGGCCUUCGGGUGCUGACGAGUGGCGAACGGGUGAGUAAUGCAUCGGAACGUGCCCAGAGGUGGGGGAUAACGCAGCGAAAGCUGUGCUAAUACCGCAUGUGAUCUGAGGAUGAAAGCGGGGGACCAGGCAGCAAUGUUUGGCCUCGCGCCUUUGGAGCGGCCGAUGUCGGAUUAGGUAGUUGGUGGGGUAAAGGCCUACCAAGCCGACGAUCUGUAGCUGGUCUGAGAGGACGACCAGCCACACUGGGACUGAGACACGGCCCAGACUCCUACGGGAGGCAGCAGUGGGGAAUUUUGGACAAUGGGCGCAAGCCUGAUCCAGCAAUGCCGCGUGCGGGAAGAAGGCCUUCGGGUUGUAAACCGCUUUUGUACGGAACGAAAAGGCUCUGGCUAAUACCUGGGGCUGAUGACGGUACCGUAAGAAUAAGCACCGGCUAACUACGUG